rnacentral:tRNA from 1 species
GUGAGUGUAGCCAAGUGGCUUAAGGCGCCAGGUUGUGGCCCUGGAGAUCGUGGGUUCGAAUCCCAUCACUCACCCCA